GAAAAAAUUUUAAUCAUAGACUACUAGUAGAUGUAAUAAACGAGACUCGUACACAUAUACAUACAUAUUGUUAUCAAGAAUGACGCCAGUCGCUUGCAUCAGCUGAUGAAACAUUGCAAUGAAUUUCGUCAUCAUUAAAAAAUCGAAUUGCAAGUAAAUCCCAUAGAGGAGUAUCCAACAUAAAGAAGUAUGUAAAGUCAAAAGAGAUGGAUGUGAUCAUGUGAAAAUUACAAGGCAUAAAUUCAACUGAAUCUGUAGGUAUAAUACAGGCGGAUCCGCUCACUACAUUCCAGUCUGCAUCAGUAUACCAAACGACCUUGUCUCUAAUUCGCAAGCCAAGUAUAUCGGGUGACUCGGAACAAAAGCACUACAAAGCUUCCAGUGUUGAGUACUGUAACGUAACAAAACAAAGAGACAUAUGUAGAUUCGGUGCAACGUGUUAAGCCAGGAUCAUUGUGCUUUAGUAUCAAAGUAUGUACGUUGCAUAACCGUGCAUAGACGUGGGGCAAGUCACUACCGAUAUGAACUGGAUAGAAUCGGCCUCCAGUUAAAAUACCACCCGCAGCUGCAAUCUCGUGCGUUACAAACACACAAGACCGAUAAAAGAAGCCAAGAAAAUCCCCCUUUUGAAUUUUAUGUUUUCUCCCGCGCUUCAAUUAACCCACCGUCCUGAUAAUGUUAUGAGCAGAGGUUAAAAUUUCGUUUCUGGCACCGCUGUCCACUACGCAGUCGAAUCCCGAGACUUUCGGUAAUCGAGUCUUAUCACAAAUUACGAGCGACUUUUGUGUCAAACGUCUACAAUUUUUUUUACGUCACUGAUGCUUUAAAUUGCACUCCUUACGUAACUGACCGCUUCGUUUUCAUUUCAAUAAUCUUGAACACAGAUAUUUUUUUCAGUUUAAAUAAGAUACUUUGGAUUGUAUUGAAACGUAUUUUUCACUUUAAAACUUGUAAAUGCAUGAAGUUACGGGUGCAAAUGAUUCUAAUGAAUUCUUCAAAUUAGAUAAAUACCUAAUAUAGUAUACCUAGUAUACCAAGUGUAUACCAGUUUAAGGCAGUGACAAUCAUAUUGAAACUUCUGAUUACACGUAAACGGGAAAACCAAUGUUAAUGACAUUUUUGUAAAACAAACAUGCUUUAAAGAAACUUUAAUCCAGAUUAAAGGAAUGUCUCUAUUAGAUUUUUUCGUGAAUUACGUCAUUUGGCCUUUUAUCGCUAAAGUGCGCGUUAAGACUGACGAUAUUCGUACGAUUGAUUCCCCAGAGGGGACCGCGACGCAAUUUUUUCUCUCAAUUGACUAGUCCUCAUUCUCGACACAGUUAGUCCCUGUUACAUACGCAGACUAUGUGUACCAUUUAAAUAAAAAACUGUGUAUCCAAUCCUCGUGCAAGAUUAGCUUGAACGAAUUUUCGACAAACCCGUAUCCUGCGGAGUCCAAUUGUGCAUAAACUUGAACGUCGGACAAGGUUUAAAUGACAAAGUACCAUAACGUACUGCAAAACAUUCCACUGCUAAGUGAAACUUUUCACCGGCACCGGUCGUGACGUUAUUCCGUAGAUUACCGACCUAUAUAACCAAAGCAAUGUCAACCUUCUGCAUUUCGUUAACAACGCAAUAUUCGAACAAGAUAAGAGGAUCAGACAUAAACAUAAUAACACGUCUGUAAUUUGCAAUUAGAAAAAGGACGUAAGAGGAAGACCGCUUAUGUAAAACCGUAAAUAAAUAAAUCUCAAAAUUGAACUGAUCGAUCAAGCCUACAAUCAUUAUGAGUUCUGAUCGCAUUUAAUGGAUCAAAAAUACGGCCGAGACGAUCAAUUCAUUUUAUCUGGACAGAGGGGCAAGAUCCACUUGAAUUAAAUAUGCCCCGGCAUAUAAACAUAUGUCAUGCAAUUAUUGCAUAAAUUCUCUGUUGCGAUGUCGAGGAGAUUUGGAAAUCUGGUUAAAGCGAAAAGUUCAUUCAACGAGCUGUUUAAGCUGAAAACGUCGAUGUACUUGUGAUUACGUAAGCACCGAAUACCGUGAGAAGCGUCCUACUUCCAGCGGCUGUUUCACCCGAAGCCAAUACAUAAGACUGGUACUACUCAUAGUGCUAUAAUAAACCAUUCUUAUUCACUAAAAUAUUCAACAAUCUCUAACUAUAAACUCUAUAAUGCACUUAUUCGCGUCUUGCGUUCUAUUCAAACGCAAGAUGCAGUAUUACACGACUAUGUAUUAAUGAACAAAAAAUCAGUUUAAUACUGUUAAUGAUAUCGACACAGAUUGAGACACAUCACUCGUCUCUAUCGUUGAUCUUCCGGUUCAUACGGAUCCGUCAGUUGUUGAAUUUUUUGGCCCGUUAUCUAACGCAAUCAGAAAUGAUGACAUCAGCUGCUGCGAGGACUCAC